CAUAGCACAGUUAGAUAUUGUUAAGUGAAACGUCAGCUACGUACUGUACUUAAUACGUGAUCAAAAUGGUGGCGUUUUUGUACUUUUUCGUAAUUAUUCUAUGUUUUACUAUUCAUGGUGCCGAACACAAGCCUGUGGAUACAAAUAUAAGAAGCGAUGUUGUCGUUACAUCGGGUUUUAAUAUAAAAAACCCCUAUUACACAAAUGGAGCUACGGACCAGACAAUGCCAACCGAGACAGAUUCAUCCAAUGAACCAGGAUGGAUGAGGCGCCAGCUCAAAAAAUUGGGAAACAUGUUUGGAUCUAUUGGUAAUGGGCUUGGUGGA